rnacentral:rRNA from 1 species
UACGUAUGGAGCAAGCGUUAUCCGGAUUUACUGGGCGUAAAGGGAGCGUAGGCGGCCUGCCAAGUCUGAUGUGAAAUACCGGGGCACAACCCCGGGGCUGCAUUGGAAACUGGCAGGCUGGAGUGCCGGAGAGGCAGGCGGAAUUCCUAGUGUAGCGGUGAAAUGCGUAGAUAUUAGGAGGAACACCAGUGGCGAAGGCGGCCUGCUGGACGGUGACUGACGCUGAGGCUCGAAAGCGUGGGGAGCAAACAGG